rnacentral:tRNA from 1 species
GCCUGGGUGGCUCAGCUGGUUAAGCGUCUGACUUCAGCUCAGGUCGUAAACUUGUGGUUCGUGAGUUCGAGCCCCGCGUCGGGCU